ACCAGCUAGAUCCAGUCACAAAUCUAGAUCUAGCAGAUUCACUGAAUCUAGAUUGCGGUGCUUGCAGGCAAAGUGCACGAGGACAAAGCAGCGAUUCAAACAGCUGCCGCUCGAUGGAUUGGCAUACAUGAGGGGAAGGAUGCAAAUGAGCAAGACAAAAAAAGGAAAAGAGAAGGCAAAGGCAAAGAGCCGCUGAGUAGAAGCGCAAGCAAGAGAGCAAGGCGAAUGUCGCUAAGCAGGACUGCUUGCGGGCACGAAAAAGUCGCGUCUGCCCCCUUCCAUACAACUUCUCUUUCUUCUUGGGUCUUGAAUCUGCUGUGCCCCGGAGCGACCUCUCUCUUCGCUUUGGAGUGUUUCAAAAUAGAAGAAAC